AAUAUCUGGGGUGGAAAAUAUUAAUAACCACUUCGUAAGUUUCAACACUAUAAGAGACGCAACUCAAGUAAGUUUCCUUACAUCCUUGUUUUCCCUAAAUUUCACUGUAUAUUCAACUGGCAUUAUAUGCUUGUUUUUCCUCUUUGUCUUUAGACGAUCCAGUUACAAGCUGACUCAAGUCUAGUUAUAGUCUAGUUAAGAAUUUACAACCAAUAAAAGUUGCCACAUAUUUAAUAGGAUUUCUAAUUAUGAUUUUAAAAAAUUCUUUUAAUUACGAGGGUAUAUUUGAGCCACAAAGGUGGAUGGAGGGGUAGUUUUGAACCAAUAGAUAAACGGAGGGUAUUCUUGAGCCAAUUUCAAUAGUUGAAGGGUAUUUCUAACCCUUUUUCAUUUUUUUAAGUUAUCAGGCCAGGUAACCGGUGGACCUGGUCCGAUUUACUGGUCCUGUCAAUGUAGAUGACCCAUCCCGGUACUGGCAGCCCAGCAACCCGAAGGCCCACCGGGCCGGAUCAAAUUGGGUCGGGCCACCUACACAGGCCGAGCUUAAAUUUGUCGGAACGGGCCAACCCUUGACAGGUUUACCUUGAGCUAAUAAUUGCCACCUGAAAAUAUGUAAUGAUCAUCAAAUCAAAUAGAAGUAAAGGCUUUUUUAGAUCUUUUAUGCAUAAAAAUAAAAAUUUCUUAUAAAAAGCAAAAAAAUUAUUUUUUUCCCAAUUAAAGGUGAGAGUCUGAAAGAUGUUUAUUUUUUAAGUCAUCCUUUCUAAUCUACGUGACAAUGUCAAAAGCUAAUUAAAGUAUUUAAAUAAUAAUUAGAUCAAAUUAAAAAAUUGCUAUGCAUGUCAAAGAACGAGACGCAUCCUGAACCCAACUACAUAAAUGGUACUCUUAUAAUUAAAAUCAUUUUUCUUCUUUCGGGAUAUAAAUAUUUCCUUUAAAAAGUUUAUUUUUUUAUUUAUGUUGCCAUGACCGUUUUAAGAUUAUAAAAUUAUAAACAACAAGAAUAAUAUAUUAGAGUAAUUUUAUAAAGUGAGGUUUGAGGAGGGUAGAGUAUAGUAGUUUAUACCUCUAUCACAGAAGCAAGACAGAGAGUUAUUUUAGAGACUCCCAACUCAAGACCAAAGCUGUCGUAAUAGGAGUACAAGAAACAAGAGACAGUAACAAGAUAAAACUACCACAAAAUAAUACUCCAUCUCUCUGUCCAACAACAACAGACAUUAACAAAACUCCAAAAUCAUUUAAACCAUAUAACUCAUAUCCUUAAAGAUAAAUGGAAAGUUUUAAAUAAAUGGUGUGUUCGAUAUGUAGAAAUUGUAUUAGGAAAGAAUUUUUCUAGUAAAAGAAGUUGUUUCUUACUUAUUUUUUUAUGUUUGAUACACAAAUGAAAAAAAUUAAUUUUUUUUUGCAUAUAUCGGCAAAACAAUAAGUGCUCAUUUGACCAUGAAUUUUUUUUCACUUUAUUCUGAAAACAACUCUAAGUUGGUGUUGGUAUUUUUGAUAAGUUUACUUGAGGCUCUCUCUUUCUAAAACCCUUGCAUCAAACCCUAAUUAUUGUAACUCAUCAAAAUCAUGGCCUUAAUGGCUGUUGGCCAGCCUCCAGUGGUGGAGGUUGAUCCAACAACCUCAUUGGGAGGGGAGGAACCUCCUAAGAUUUCAUAUAUCAAUACUAUCUAGCCACUAAAACUAUAAUACAAACCAAUUCCAUUAAAAUAGAUUGCCUACCUACAUGGUCAACCUAGGAUCAUUUGGGAGGAGGAAGAGGUCAAUCAGAUAAUUAUCAAUGAAGAUUUGCAGUAGGCAGUGAUAGGGAAGUUCUCAUAUGGAUGGAUAGAGAUUCAAGAUUUGAGAAAGCUAAUCCCUAAACAAUGCGAAUUGAAAGGGGAAGUGAAUAUUGGGAUCCUUAAUAAUAUACAUAUUUUAAUUAGAGCUUCAAGGCUGGAUAAUUAUGUAAAUUUAUUAUCUAAGCCCAAAUUUUAUAUCACACAUAACUAUUGGUCAUACACAAUGCACACACUCAAGUGGGACCCUUUUUUGAUCAUGUGGAGGAAACUUCUAUUGCAAUUGCAUGGAUUUCAUCCCUUCGUUGCCUAGAUUUUUUUUGGAAAGAAAGCAAUAUUCUCAGUGGUAGCAGCAGUAGGAAAACCAUUACAAGUUAACUUAGCUACACAGAAUAAAAGAAGACCUAGCUAGGAAAAGGUCAAAGUAGAAGUAGAUAAUUUUUCAAAAAGGAUCAAUGUUGGGAUGCAACUAAAAGUGGAGAGAUCAAGGAGAAAUGUAUUAACAUUAAAUAUGACUAUGUGGCAAAAUUUUCACUACCCAAAAGCCAAGGAUCAUGAUGGUACUCAUUGCGUGAGCCUUGACGAGUAAGCCUUACACCCAAACUGAUCCACAAAAGAAAAAAGACAGAAAUACCUGCAGGGUAAGGCUUUUAGAAAAUAGUCGAAUUAGAUAAGUAUAUUAAAUAUGGAAAGAAUAUAAUCAACAAUGCAAUCAUAACUCACAAAACCUAAUGUCAAUAGUAUAAGAAUGUAUCUAGUACAACUAGAAUCCAAGUGAAAUACAUAAGAUAUUCAAAAUACAAGAGAAACUCUGUUCCUGACACGAAAGUAAUGACAUAGUCUAUAAGAAAGGUAGUAUAAUGCAUCCGAACAUCUGGAAAUCAAGCAGUACGAAGGCACCAGAUAUCACCUGAAUCAACCAAGUUGGAGAGCACUUGAACUAGGACCUACAUCAAAAGUGUCACGACCCAAAUGGCUAUGAGUUCCACCCACACUAAUCUUCUUAUGGGAGAAACAUCUAACCAAACUAUUACCCAAAAACUUAGUCAAUAUUAAGAUGAUAUUAUUAUAAAAUUCAACAUAAUAACAAUAAUCCAGGACUAAUCAUUAUUAAUGUGGAAGUUGAUGUGUGAGCAAAAGCUAACAUAUUUAAUUCUUUUUAGCUCAAAAUAAUUGUGAAUUCUGAAGCAACUCUUGUUGUUUUGAUGUGUUUGCUCAUGAUAUUGCAGUAAAAGGGUGGAGGAAUAAAAAAAAACAACAAUGGAGCAAAAGAGUUGAAAAUCUGAGCAAAAGACAAGAAAUCAUGGCUGACGACCUCCGUGAUACGUCGUCAGCCUUGUGAUAGCUUAUCAGUAUUGGCGUCAACCUUAACUAGAAACUUGAAGCCUG
rnacentral:lncRNA from 1 species